AGGAGCAAAGCCUUAUUCUGUACUGAGAUCUGCAUCAGGUGAGCUUAUUACGAGAUUGACAAGAACAGAGGGAGCAAUGUGAUCUGGUGGUCAUUUCAUCAGGUUGCAUUCCAUUUCGGUGCGUUAGGCCCAGACAUCACCAUCACCGAUGCAAAGACAGGAGAAAAAGUUACAUGUGAAACAAUGCACUAUUCUGAAUGCAGGGCUUGAGCAUUGAUUGCUUUGUACCACCCCCACAAAGCAAGCUGGCCAAGAUCUCAUGACGCAAAUGGAUGUUCCAAAGCGACUGCCUGCCACCACGCUGCUCCUCCUAGUCAAAACGGGGAGACUCAGUUGACCUUCAGCCAUAGAAGCAGGACAUGCCAUAUCCCAAAUGAAAGAAAUUCAUGCCUGUGAUGAGUAAAAUUCCAAUUAAAAUUCAUCACCAGCAACAGGCCUUAUAUCUUCCUUGGACAAUGUGAAUCAUUUUUGAUGCUGGGAAAUGCACUUCAUAAACCUCCAUUGUCGUAGAAUGUCUACUUCCACGAGAACUUGUUUUAUAUUAGUAAAUAAAACA